GGAGGGUGCAAGCGUUAUCCGGAUUCACUGGGUUUAAAGGGUGUGUAGGCGGAUAUUUAAGUCAGUGGUGAAAUCUCCGGGCUCAACCCGGAAACUGCCAUUGAUACUAUUUAUCUUGAAUAUCGUUGAGGUUGGCGGAAUAUAUCAUGUAGCGGUGAAAUGCAUAGAUAUGAUAUAGAACACCGAUUGCGAAGGCAGCUAACUAAACGAUUAUUGACGCUGAGGCACGAAAGCGUGGGGAUCAAACAGGAUUAGAUACCCUGGUAGUCCACGCCCUAAACUAUGAUUACUCGACAUACGCGAUACACAGUGUGUGUCUGAGCGAAAGCAUUAAGUAAUCCACCUGGGAAGUACGUCCGCAAGGAUG
rnacentral:rRNA from 1 species